GUUGAACGCUGGCGGCAGGCCUAACACAUGCAAGUCGAACGGGACGGCGGACGGGUGAGUAAGGCCUAGGAAGCUGACUGGUCGUGGGGGAUAGCGUCCGGAAACGGGACCUAAUACAGCAUCCUAUCAGAUGAGCCUAGGUCGUAUGAGCUAGUUGGUGGGGUAAAGGCCUACCAAGGCGACGAUCCGUAACUGGUCUGAGAGCAUGAUCAGCAAGACUGGGACUGAGACACGGCCCAGAAUCCUACGGGAGGAAGCAGUGGGGAAUAUUGGACAAUGGGCGCAAGCCUGAUGCAGCCAUGCCGCGUGUAUGAAGAAGGCCUUAGGGUUGUAAAGUACUUUCAGUCGGGAGGCGUUACCUACAGAAGAAGCACCGGCUAACUCCGUGCCAGCCGCCGCGGUAAUAC
rnacentral:rRNA from 1 species